rnacentral:tRNA from 1 species
UCCCUAGUGGUCCUGUGGCUAAGACUCUGCACUCCCAGUGCAGGGGCCUGGGUUCGAAUCUCAGUCAAGGAG